UUGCUUUGGCAGCACAUAUACUAAAAUUGGAAUGAUACUGAGAAGAUUAUCAUGGCCCCUGUGCAAGGAUGACAUGCAAAUUCAUGAGGCGUCCCAUAUUUUU
ensembl:snRNA U6 U6 spliceosomal RNA